AGUCACUCUUUAUCAUUUUCCUUCCCACCACAGACCCAUUACUCGCUCAAAAUCCAUUUUUAGUUUUUACAUCUUUCUUCUUACCGUAAUACGUAGACCCAUGAGCCCCUCAAAGCCAUCUAUGUCCUCACAGGCCGUUGAAGUUCAGCACGAUUGUCUCUCUCGGUUGAUCUCCGACGCUUUUGUCUCCGAACACUCUCUCUCUCUCUCUCCGUCUAUUAGCACAGUAAUCUCAUUUUCCAUUAGAGACGAAUCACACAAAGUGUGGUUAAAAAAAAAAAAGAAUUUUAUUUUAUAUGGCCUUUUUAAAAUUAAAUAGUGUGGUAAAUUUAUCUUCUAAUGUGAACAUUUAUGGUGAUACUGGAGAUGGAACGUCGGUUUUUUACGCCAUACUUCAUCUUUCUUUUUGACUUUUCGGUGUUUUUAAUCAAUUUCUGCUUGUAUUUUUUAUUUUUGAUUUUCUCACUUCAUGUUGAGUUAUGUGAGAUCUACUUCUUCUAUGCAGUCGAUUGGUUUUGUUGGUCAUGAGAUUGCUCUUAUUGGUUUAAUCACAGCAAAUCAUCCAUCAAUCGCCGAAAUGAUACCCAACGAGAAUAGUUGUUGUUGCAGUGGAGUGAGAUGCUGAAAUGACGGCUAAUAUUGUGCCAAAAUGAAGCCCAAUAGAUGAUAGCGGGGGAGUGGGAAUAUAAUAGGCGGAGAGAGGAAGUAUGGUUAAACCCAUAGCUGCGAAGAAGGCCUCUUGAAUGAGGAGGAGGAGGCGGAGAGAGAGAGGGGGAGAGAGAGAGAGAGAGAUUUGGUUGGGACGGAGAAAGAGACGAAGACGAAGGUAAUGACAAAAUUAAUACAGAUUUACUGCAUGCAAUUGUAUUGUUAAGGUUGUUAGAAUCCUUACGUGUUUGCUUAUUAUUUGUCGGUGUAAAAUAGGGAAAGCCACCAGUUCGACGCCCAACUCCUCCAUUUUUCUUUUACUAUUUCCUGCUAUGGUGGCAUCCUACAUUAUAGGGAUAUGCAUCUGGACCGAAUUUUUAUACGGUUUAAUCUGGAAAUUUGGAUCCAAGUGAAUCCGGGUAGUUAUCUGCCCGGAUUACACCCGGGCAGUUGUUAUAAACUUGGAUCCGAUUUUAUAACUCGGUAACCUGUAACUGGGUUAUACACCCGGUCAUUUUUUUUCUCCAAAACGACAUUGUUUCUCUCACAUUUCAAACGAAUCUCAGUGUCUCACUCUUCGAUCUUCUCUCACGCUCGUCAGUCGUCUCUCAUGUUCUCAACCCCAGCCGUGGCGAUUGCUAUUGCAUUUGCAAAUCCGUCCUUCUCUGUCUCGAAACCUAAGGUGUGGUCCGCCCAACAUGUCCUUGGGAUAUCUUAUUAUGAAAACGAGACACGUCACCCUCCAUCGUUAUCACGGAGAAUUAGUCCAUUACAACCCAUGCCAAGAACAAAAUACGAAGUCUCGACUUCGGAAUUCCAAGCAGCAAAGAGCGGUAAUAUUUCACAAACUGGACUACAUCCACACACAGGCACGCAUCCAACAAAAGGAAGAACAUUAAGCAGAUCAUCAGUUAGCCCCUCCAGUUGUCUUUCCGUCGGCGUAUCUCCUGGAGAGCUUCAACAGGAGAUCGACAACCAACCCUCGCCUGUAAAAUAUAGCCAACGUCUAUAUAAGGUCAUACCAAAAGCUUUCCAUUGUCAGUUAAAUGGUUGCCGAAUACCAAAUAACAUAACAAGUGCAACAUAUCUUAUUUUUUUAUGAAUUUCCAUCUCUUCAAUAUGUGGAUACAA